CAGACUCAUUCAUGCCGACAAUGCUCUCCUCCGCGCGGUAAAUCCCUCCAGACAUCGGCAACAAGGCUGGUCUUUCACCGGCAGCGAUAAACAGGAGAAAUGUUACUUUACCUGCGGGGAAUGACGGUGGUAUGUCCUGUGAAGGCUCGGUGACCUUGGAGCAGGAAGAUGCGUGUGUGUUGCCGACGCUUCUCGGUUUGAAUUUCCUGAGCGAGCCGCUGCCUGAGUCUGACGUGUUUCUGCGGGCUGCAUAGGGCGGGCUGCCGGCCUCCUGGAGCGGCUGAGCCCUAGCGUUGCGAGGAUUGGCUCAGGAGGAUUUGCCAACUCAUUUUACUGGAGCUACCUGAAGUGUGAACCCACAGUAUGACCAUGAAUCAUGGCAUGUGGCCAAAGGACACUGCAGAUGACGUCACAUUCUGCAGCGUGUUAUCUGACGGCUUGAUGACGUCUGUUUUCCUUCCAAAAAUGGACUGAAUGGCUUCACUAAAUUUGUAAAGGUUCAUCUCUGAGUUUGGAGAUCAAAUCAGGCUGGGAGACCUUGCAUUGACAUCAUUUCUUUGUUCAGUUUCUAUUACUCAGUGUUGUUUUAUGUGAAAGCUAUUAGUUCCCUCACAGUGCACCACUGAGCCCUGAAACAAAUGUUAUUUUUUAUGCUGCUGCAACGCCCAAAUUGGGAUCAAUAAAGUACUUCUAUCUA